UCAUGUGACACUGAAGAUUGGAGUAAUGAUGCUGAAAAUUCAGCUUCGAAAACAGGGAUAAAUUAACAUUUUAAAAUAUAUUAACCUAGCAAGCAGUUACUGUAAAUUGCAAUGAUAUUUCAAGAUGUUGCUGUUUUUACCGUAUUGUGCCACUGCCUUAGAAUCCGAGUUACCGCUUAGAGAAAGUUAGCAGUCUGCAUAACGUUUUUAACCUACAUUUUGCAUGCCUAUGAUGACUUAAAAUGCUUUCCAGGUUGUUAGCUCACUAGGUUCUGCAACUGAGCUCAAGUAUUUGUGAAUUGCACUAAGCCACAGGGUGGUUUCACAAAACAGAUCACAUAAAAGAUAACAUUGCCCAGCGGUCGAAUUGAAUGAGACCAUAUAGGUAUUCUUUGAAACCAAUAACCCAGAAAACAACAUAAUUGACAAUAAUCCCCUCAAAUACAUCUCCAUUUACAUACCCUGUGUGCGUGCAGCGCACUUCCUGUGGCCUGAAUGGAUUCCACUGUUACCGGAGGAUAAAAGCCCAUCACAACAACAGGCCAUGACAGUGCAGUCGAAUAGCCCUUUAAACAGAAAUGAAAUCACAUCCGUUUGCAUCCGUGUCCAAAGCGGCACCUGUCACGCGUCCACUUUCCAAGGCACCAGCGAUUCUUCUCCUCCAUGCUUUUUAUUUGCGUUUAGUCUUCUGAAACGUCAGCCUCUCUGCGGGUGGCGUGUGUAGAGCCGCCCUUAGUGGGAUCACAGCUCCGUUCAGCACUACGGACAGCUCCAGCAAAGGCAAUGCUAAUGAAGCACGGCCUUCCUUGUUCUCCUCUGUAGUAGCAUCAGACAGGCGCUCACUCUCACCAUCUCCUCUAAACGAUCCACUGCUGCCGCGAGCGUAACCCCGAGAGAGGAUGUUCUGUGCUUCUGUGUCCCAUGUUCUUUGCUCUCUGCCUCCUUAUUUUUUUAUGAACUGCCUCUUUCUCUCUUGCUCGUCUGUUCUCGCCCUGCUCCAAAGAGACAGGAACACAAGAAAUCGCCCAUUCCCGUUGCCUUUUUUCUCAUCCUAAUAGGACAAACUGGAAAGGCAGAGGAUAAGAAAUUCUGCCGAGUAGCGGCAGAGACUGUCAUUCGUGAGGCAACCAAGAUCUCACCCUUUCUAUUUAAUUCCUGCUGUCAGCCGGCCUUCGUCAGGACGACAGGGAGAGCGGAAGGGGUUAAAGGGUCGUGGCUGAGACAUUGCUUCUAUUUCUGUGGAUCUCCUGAAGACAUGCUGUGUCCCGGUGUCAGGUCGACUGAGAACAAAGGUCAAGUGGAAGAGGUUAAAAUUGCCUGCAAGCGGACGUGCUUGUUUGUAUAAAUAAGUGUAUGUGGUGUUUCCUACUUAAUGACUUAAAAUAGCUUUUUUUAUUGUUGUUAGUACAUUAUGUAUUUAUUUUGUCCUGUGUUUUAUUUGUCCGAUGACUGUUUCUGUUUUUUUAUUCUCUCCACUGUCUCGGCUGUUGGAUGUGAAUCUACUUGACAGACGGUACUCAAUAACAAUGUGAAGGUCUGGCUGUUGCAACCAAGACGAACACAGACUGUCCAACUAGAGAAAGAGAAACAGACAUCUGUUGGUUUUUGAACAUGCAUUGAUGCAUCUCAAGCUGCCAUCGCAGAGCCUUUCCUCCAGGCAACAACAAAAACGAGAUCAAGGGAAGGGGGGAAAAAGAUGCAUUUUCUUUAUUGAACAGUUGUGCGGUUGUGUGUAUAAUUUAAAGGGAAACAAAGCAUAUUGUGUAGCAGAUUGCAGUCUGCUCUGGCUUAAUUGGAGAUGGGGAGAGUGAGGCAGAUGUGAGUUAAGACUGUUAAACUCUGAUUACUAGGAUGUAUCUUCACCCCACACUCUCUUCUAGCAUACAGAGGCUGGUCGAAAAUAUUGAUCAAAACCAAAUCAAAAAUGGUAGCAGAGGUUUGAAUGCAGUAUAUAUAUGUGCAGAUUUUUGCUUACUCUGGAUAAGUUGACAUCUAUCUAUCUAUCUAUCUAUAUAUCUAUCUGUCAUUAUUUCUGUCUAAUAUGGCCUAUGAACCUCAAGGAUUUUAAACUUUUUUCAAAACUUUCCAUCAAGGCUUUACCAUUCAAAAAUUAUUAUAUAUACACCUUACAUUCAAAUUUGAAUUGCAAUUAGGAAGAGGAAGAAAUCAGGAAAAGGUACAACCUAGACUCAAACUACACUUGAGUUAUAUAUCAAUCGUAACAGGACUUUCCAUUCCUAUGAUCUAGUGAGAUCUAGAUUGACUGGUUUCACACAACUUCCGUGAGUGUGGACAUAUAAAUGUUUUAUCAGUCCAUCUGGAAACAAAGUUCUGUGUAAAAGAUGCUGUUUUGACACAGUAAGCACUUCUGAGGGUAAAAUAACCCCUGAAUUUGGCCAAGUUUCCAAGGUUAGUGACAUCAAAUCUUUUAAAUAUAUUCAAAUUGUUUCAGUUCAUAUAUGCGUCAUUGAAAUGAAAAGUUAUGCUAUUUUUCAUUGCCAACUGGUUUCAUAUUCUCUGUUCUUUCUUUCCGUACCAGGUGACCAAUUGUGUGUGUGUGUGUUUUAAUUACAGCAGGGUUUAGUGUGGUUGCCUCUUCAUCCAGUUCUCUAACAGUCCAGGAAACCUGUGGAAAUUACUCCUGACAAAACUAAGUAGCUCACCUCUCUCGAUUCACCAGAUUAAGAGAGACUGCCCUCCUAGUGGAGUCUCCCUCCUUUGUUUCUAUCUCUCUCACACACACACACACACACACACACACUUUCUCUUCUCAUCUUAAUCGUGAAGCUCCCAUCAAGUACAUGUCCCUGGAAACAAAACUCAGUUACUAAUAAUACUCAGAGUCCUUCUUGGUUUGGUUUGGAGGAGGUCUUUUGUCGGGUAUGGUAACAAGUCUGCAGGGAGUUUUGCUCUCGUGGGAUCCAAAAGCAGACAGAAGGCUUGGCACUUUUUGCCAUAUCUCUAUCUUCACGCUCUGCCAGACAUCCUGAGCUAAAGUGUGCUACACUGAUCUUGUUCCUCUCACAGCGAGUCUCCUUUUUCUCUAUUUGCGUCUGUUGUCCCAAAUCCUUUCUCACAAAUCAUUUUCCACUCUAGAAUUGAUCAGCGCUUUGACCUUCUCUCUUCCCGGGGUUUUCGUCUCACUUGUCUCUUUCACAUCAAGCCUUGCGGAUCUUUUUCACCAAAAAUGGAAAGAGCUUGCACCUUCUCUUGUUCCAUCUCACUGUUUUUCCUUUUUUCCACAAUCUCCUUGCUUGACUCCAAAAGGGUUUUUCACCUUGAAAUGGCACUUCUGUCCAUUCGGCCUUACUGUAAGGGGCAGCCGAAUCCAUCGGAGGCUUUAGCCGAGCGGAGCAGCUGAGUCACCUGCUCGGACGUGAUCGCGUUGGAUUCAGGAUAAUCCAGCACCUUCACUACUCUCAACUGUUCCUGGUCUAUUUCUAUCUCAAGGACAGGCCCUUUGAGAGAAGAUGGCCUCAAUCACUGAUAGAGGCCGUGGUGUUCUUUAAGAAAAAAGCUUUUUUUGGGUUUCAAGCAAUGAACGAAGUUUAAGGAAGUCUCAGGCAAGCAAGCAAACUCUAAGCUCCCUUUUAACCUGAAUGCCCAUUACUGGUUCAUGCAAAUGCAGAGUGAAAAUCCCCAGCCUUGAUGCUGGCAAAAUCUCUCCAAUUGUUGCUUUGCCUGAAAACAAGGGCAAAUUAGACCUUACAAAGUGUCCUCAAAGGAGAGGCUUCUUCGAAUUUGGUUAAAAGAACCUUGGAGGUGAGAAUGAGUGCAAAUAGAGUGAAUUCUAGAAAGUGUUGCACCAUCAUCUACGAACUGUUAAAACCUCCUCGCAGACCGCAGCAUAUAAAUAGACUUGACUGUGGCCGCUGUGUGAGUCAGUGGCUGUCAGCAAAGCUUAAGUUCGAGGGUGGAUGUUGGGGGAGGAGGGCGGUUGUCCUUUUCUGUGCUUUUCCAGACAGAAAGAUAAUCAUUUUCCCCCCAGGAUAAGAACUGCGAGAAGGGGAUUCUGUCCAGUUGGGGGUGCUGGCAGGGAAUUCAGGGUGUUUUUGGCCCGAAAGCCCUGACUCUGCAAGGUCACCUCACCAUGAGUGAGUCUGUGAUGAUGUGCAUGAAGGACAAUGCCCGGAGCGCAUGUGAUGGAACCAGGCCAGAGUGCCACCACGUGCUGCCAGCGUGACAGACAGGGCACGACACCACCAAACCAACGAGGAUGUAGAGAAGCAGGAAUGCUGAAAGAAAGACACAAGAUGAUCCAGGCCGGACUCAAUCCUGGAUCGGCUUGAUAAUUAAUUGCUCUUAUUUGCAUGAGUGCAUGCGAUACCCACUGCACCAUAUUGCUGACAUUCUGUAAUAGUGCAAGUACAAAGUGGCAGUCUUUGAUCUCCAUGGCAGCAGUGACAGCGACUGGGCGGGCGGAACCACGCGGAGGGUCUUCCGGGAUUCAUUAUCCUGUUUGUGAGCUUUUUAAUGAUGGGGGAGGUCCCUGCCCUCACGAAGAGUCACAACAGAGAGCCGUUUAUGCACACGUCUGAACAGACAAGCUGUGAGCAUUCUCUAAUUAUGGUUUAAGAUCCAUUAAAACUGUUUCUUUCAUUUAGACUUUUCAUGGCAAUUACGUUUGACUAUGAAGGUAAUAUGCAAACAAUCACUCAUGAAGCAACAACAAAAACAUGCUUGAUAAACUCCAGAGACAACAACAAUUGACUGUUCAGCUUUAGCGUACUGUCAUUGUAUUGUUCAGUUAGUGCUGUAAAGAGACAGUUCCACAUUAUUAUAUUGUAUUUUAAUUAAACUGUCCAGAGAUCACAUUCCAGGCCAAAGAAUGAAAGUGGCAGAUCAUCUGCAAUGAUAAAUACUUUACAUCAGUUGUAAAGUGAUUAAUCAAUCAAUGUUGGCAAAUGCCUUGUUUAAUACUGGAGCUUGUUCUUUUAAAUACUACACAAUAGGGAAAUAUAAUUAUCUCUCUUAAGCCAGGGGCUUUUUUUUUUAAUUAUUAUUAUUAUUUUGGCCAGUUAAGACAAAUUUCAGGAAUAAGAUUUCUUUCAUCAUAGGACAAAACUGGCAGUCUUUGAUCACUUAGUACAGGGAUUCCCAAACCCUUCUGACCUAAAUAUUUAUUAAAAUAUAAAAUAAUUCUAUUCCAUAAUAUAACACCACAUUUGCAUAUUCACAGUCCCCUUAUGUUGGUUAAUGGUCACAUGCAAAAUAUUUCAUCAUUUUAGCAAGAAUGACGCAUUUGAUGUAAAAUGUGCUGUCGAUCGCAACCAGGAUACAGGUUGACAUAAGAGCAUUGAUGUUGCACAGUUUUGGCUUGUCCCCAUGAUCUCACAGGAGUCGCAUAUCACAAUCUGUCAAGCAACAAAUGUAAAGGACAGAAAAAAUCACACCAUCUGCAUCUGGCUUCAGCCGAUCAGGAUAUUCCUUCUGAUGAUUUAAGCAAGCCUGAACAUGUCUCAGAACAUGAUGUCAAAUAUAGGUAUGUGUCUCAUUCUCAGCCACACUGUCUCACUCUCCCCUCCCUCAUUUAUUUCAGUUCUCGCUCCCCUCAUGUCCUCUGAGACAGUGGUGUGAUGUAAUGUGAAGUAGAAAUGGUGCUGACUCUUUGACCUUGCUCUAAAUCCUCAGACAGAGAAUAAGAGAGGUUAUAAAAAAUGUUGUAUUACCUCACUCUCUGUCUCUUUCUGCACUUUGUAGCAGGGGUUGAGAAGGGGUGCGGUGUAAAUCUACUCAUCAUAUUAAACCUGGUCUCUGAGUCCUGACUGAUGCCUCAUUUUGAAGAUCUCAUUCCCACCAAUAGAAGGCACAGUUCAUUGUUCUCAUGUGUGAGGGGGAGAUUGGUGACCUGUUUAAUUCUUGGUUGAGCAUUGUUAAACAUUAUUAAUGAAUUGAGUUUUUGUUCCAAAUGUUUAGGUAGUUUUGUAAUAUUAUAACAGUUUACCUCUUUGUUACUGUUAAGUCACAUUUAUUUGUCUUUCUUAAAUUUCUUUAUUACCUUUAAAGGUGCCCUAGAAUUAAAAAUUGAAUUUAUAUUGGCA